rnacentral:rRNA from 1 species
AGAGUUUGAUCCUGGCUCAGAUUGAACGCUGGCGGCAUGCUUUACACAUGCAAGUCGAGCGGCAGCGCGGGACUCAGGCAACUGAGCCCUGGCGGCGAGCGGCGAACGGGUGAGUAAUACAUCGGAACGUGUCCCGUAGUGGGGGAUAGCUCGGCGAAAGCCGGAUUAAUACCGCAUAUGCUCUACGGAGGAAAGCGGGGGAUCCGCAAGGACCUCGCGCUAUGGGAGCGGCCGAUGUCCGAUUAGCUUGUUGGUGGGGUAACGGCUCACCAAGGCGACGAUCGGUAGCUGGUCUGAGAGGAUGAUCAGCCACACUGGGACUGAGACACGGCCCAGACUCCUACGGGAGGCAGCAGUGGGGAAUUUUGGACAAUGGGGGAAACCCUGAUCCAGCCAUGCCGCGUGAGUGAAGAAGGCCUUCGGGUUGUAAAGCUCUUUUGGCCGGAAAGAAAAGGCCACGGAUAACACCCGUGGUUCUGACGUACCGGCAGAAUAGGCCCCGAC